CCAGGCAGACCAGCAAAGCAAACGGCACUGUAAGAGUUAAAUGAAGGUCUUUAAUGUCUAUUAACAAAACAAAAGGAGGCUCUUAAAGUCAGAGUUGUAAACACAAAAGGCUUGCGGUCAGCAGGAAUGUAAACAAACUGGUCUCAGUCAGUCUUUGCUGGCAAAAGGAAAGCAAGUCUAAACAGAAGCAGGCAGCUUGGAUUCAGCAGUAAAACUCAGUCCGUUUCAAAGGCAAACAAAACAGCAAACAGCAAUCCGCAUGAAGAGCGGUCCAACGAAGAUUCCAGGGAUUAGCAGAGGCGUAGUCAGGCAGUCCGAGGGUCAAGGCAAGGAAGACUCACGAGUCUGGUUCCGGCAGGGUUGUUCACACGAUCAGGAAACACGAAGCUGCAAACAAGAGCUCACGGCAGGAGUUAAACACAAGGCACACGGUGAAUCCCGGCUGCGCCAUUGUUGCCAGUCAGUACUUCGGGCUCCAUCCUGCAAAGUAUUAUCUGCAACCCAAGUAUCAUCAAAACCCUGGAA